rnacentral:lncRNA from 1 species
AUUAUUCUUGGCCCCUAUUUAUGACACAUAAUACUGACAUUCACUAUGGGUAUUUGGUACCUGUCCAUGGCACAUCUUCGUUCUCCUUACUUCCCCUUACGUUCUUUACCUGACAGUGUGUGGAAAUCUGUGUCCGUACGCUACACAUGUCCUACAAAAGCUCCGUUCCACGUGUGUGAAGCGUGUUCACUACAGCUGGCAACGUUAGAGCGCUCACACUUCCACCCUGGGAAACGUGGCCGGCCGUGCAAACGCAGUGUGACGGGAGCUGGGUCGCAUUUCCGUUUCCGGCGCCCCUUGCCGGCAUCGGAGCCCCUCCAGAGGAGACGGCUGACCUCCUCUGCGAGUGAGCGUCCCCUGCACCCCUUCAGUGCAAGCCCUGGGAAGGUUGCACAGAAGUGGAGCCGUGAGCUGAGAAUACAUUGUUGCCUUGGAAGCUGCCAGGUUUGGGGCUGGUUUAUUAUGCAGUGUUAUUAUGGUACUGGUGAACUGCAAGGGAAACUGGUACCUAGAACAGAAACCUACAAUCUGUGGCAUUGGCUUUGGAACCAGAAACAGUUAUAGGCAGCUGGAGAAAUGGUGGCCUGCGCUAUGGAGGGGAGGGACGUUUGCCAAACCUGUCACUUGCAAUGACUGGGAGGUUAGGAAGAAUGCCGAGUGCCCUGGUGGUGUGGGCCGGGUGUGUCCAGGUGGAGACCAGGCGGAGCCUGAAGGUGUGAACUGGCUCCUGCUGCCUGCACUGACGUGACCCGUGAGAGAUGAUGGCCCGGGAACAGACUGGCCGCUGCUCAAAAAGAAUCAGAAAGGAAGCUGUGAGCCUGGCUGGGCUGGAAAAGAAAACUUUAAUCUUCAGUCUCCCCAUCCGGUAAAAGGUUCUCAACCUGAGAUGCAGCCUGUGAGAAAAGUCAAAUCAAAGACUUGGCUCUUCAGCCCCAGUGAAGACUGAAAGAAUGUGGGCUGGAGAUUUAGCUCAGUGGUGCUGCUGCCUGCCUCGCAAACUCAAGGUCCUGAGUUCGAUCCCCGGUACCAAAAAAAAAAAAAAAAAUGAGGGGUGCCUUGUAGCGACUUGCGGGAUCGGUGGGAAUGGCGCUCCAGCAGCCGGUGUCUGUGUCCGAGUGUCGAGAGAGUCCUGUCUAGAGGCCAACUGUGACCACAGCUUUUGGCACACAGGAUCAGACAGUGGGACACCUGCACUGUUUGAGAGAGCUCUAUGCACAGAACUCCACCUGCGUGGACUAAAAGAGCAAAGACUAUCCAGGAUAGAUGGAAGUGUCUAAGCUACCAGUGUUCAUAGGCCAGGCAAAGGCUGCCGAUGGAGGGCAAGUUUCCAGUGUCCUUGUCAGAACCAGCCAAGGACAAUGAAGGAUCUUCUAGACGGCAGAGUCAAGAGCAGCGACAAUCACCACUCCAGGCUCCAGGCAGUGAACAGGGCCUUGGCCAGAAUGCUUGCUGCUCAGAGGGUAGUGGUACCUGCCAGCCCUGCUCCAGCGGGAUUCAGGAACUGUUACAGACCAGACGCUGUGGCUCUGACCCUUCCCCUUGGGAUGGGAGUGUUCGUGGGUUAUCCUGAGCUUGCUCGCCCAUGAUAUGCGGGUGUGCUGUGAGGGGAGAGGUAGGAGGUGCAGAUAACCUGUCCGUCUGUCCACAGGUCUCUGGGUCAAGAAGGGCCACAUCCAGAUCUGACUUAGAAUGUGAUAUUCUGGACUUCAGGCUUGGUGCUGGGACUGGGCGAUGCUGGGUGUUGGGGUGGGAGUGAGCAUAUGUUGCAAGCAGGAGCACCCAGUCUGUUUUGUACUGCUGGAACAGCUGUGCGAGUAAUUCACAAAGCUCAGCUCGCAGGUCUGGAGGCUGGGAAGUCAGAGGUGAAGGCACUGGCAUCUGAUGUGGGCUUUUUUGCUGUAUCCCCACACAGGAGAAGAGCAGAAGACAGAACCCACCCUGCCAGCCCUUUACAGUAGCAUCGAUCUAUGCAGGAGGUGGAGUGCGCGUGAUUCGAACACCUCCCCAAGGCCCCACCUCUCAGUGCUGCUGUUUGGGAUUAAGUUUCCAACAUAGGAGAUGGCGGUGAGGGGCACAGUCAAAAUAGCCAGGAGGCUAUGAGUGACUGUCCAAGGGCACAUCUGCAUUACCGUUCCUUAUCCCUUACCCAUCCUAUAUUGGUUUUCCAGAGCUGCCAUAAUAAAUUAUCACAAACUCGAAUGACUUCAAACAACAGAAAUUUAUCAUCUCACAGUUCUAGAGGGCAGAAGUCAGAAAGCAAG